UACGAAGGGGGCGAGCGUUGUUCGGAUUUACUGGGCGUAAAGGGCGCGCAGGCGGCUUUGUUUGUCAGGCGUGAAAGCCCCGGGCUUAACCUGGGAACUGCGUUUGAUACGGCAGGGCUAGAAUUCGGGAGAGGAGAGUGGAAUUCCCAGUGUAGAGGUGAAAUUCGUAGAUAUUGGGAAGAACACCUGUGGCGAAAGCGGCUCACUGGACCAUAACUGACGCUGAUGCACGAAAGCUGGGGGAGCAAACAGG
rnacentral:rRNA from 1 species